rnacentral:lncRNA from 1 species
AACUUUCAAUCUUAUAGUGUUUAAUCUGUGACUAGUCUUGGUCAUUGUUUCAAGCCAAUUUUGAAUAUGUUUAAGAAACUUUCAAAUACAUCAUUUAUGUCACUGUGAACAAUAAAAAACAUGUUGAUUUUAAACAAUUAAAGUUUGGGGAAAGCAUACAUUGGUUAUGUGAAUGAUGUUUAAAUCCAUUUAUAAAAUGUACAAUGUGCUUUUAAUUGGAAGAAAGAAAACUUUGUACAAUUGUUAAGAGAUCUGUACAUAAAGGGACUAUAGUGAUAUUGAGGAAAGUUACAUCUAGAAAUUGUACAGUUUGUAAAUUUUUAUUAUUAUUUAUGAAAAACAUUUAUUUACUUUAUUUAUUUUAUUUUAAUUAUACAUAUAUAUGAAAUGAAUAUGAUUUAUGAAUUACAUUAAUUUUAAUAUUUUAAAAGUUUACAGAUAUUGUAAAACAAUGUAUUGUUCCAUUUACAUUUAUAUUUUGACGAAGUCACAAAAGUGAGACUUAGGCUUGCUAUUUAUGGAGGAGUCGGCUUGGUCAACAAUUUGUUAAAGGUUGGGUAAGGUCAAUUUCACUCAUAUUAUGUCAAAGAUAUUUGAUAUUGGGGAGUUGACACAUUAGUUCUUUCAUUAAACUAUAGUUUGAAUGUGAAAAGUUUGUUAUUAGGUUGGUUUAAAGGAAAUCAAUUAUGGUAAGUCAUUGGCAUUUGGUAGCAUGAAGACAUCUUAUUUUACAGAGAUUAUAUGGCUUUACAUCCUCAUUCAUCAUGGCUUAAUCAAUUUUAAAGUUUUGAACAGUUUACAAACAUGCUAAAGUUUUGUCAUUUUGAUUUUUGUCUUGCCUUGAAGGAGUCAAAAAGCAAGACAUAGGUACUCUGUUUCCAGCGUCAGUGUCGGCGACAGCAAUGGCGUCAACAAUGUAUAAGUUUGUGAUUAGGUCAGUUUUAUGUGAAACUACUAGUGGUAGGUCAAUGAUAAUAGGUAUGCAGAUGUAUUACCAUUGCCACAUAGCAUUGCCAUGGAGAUUAUUUGACGUUGCCCACUCAGUCAAGGUCCAUUGACUUUGAAUGGUUUGCUUACUUUACAUUAGUUUGUGAUUAGUUCAGUUUAUGGGGAUCCAUUUGUGGUAUGUCAAUGAUAAUUGGUAUGCAGUUGUAUUAGCAUUGCCACAUCUCUUUGCCAUGGAGAUUAUUUUACUAUGCCCCCUCAGUCAUGGUCUAUUGACUCUAAUUGGUUUGCAUUAUUAAAAUUACAAAAAGGCGAGACAUAUCUCUGUGAUAACAGUUUAUCAAAUACAAUGUAUACUCAUUGUAUAAUCAAAAACUUUAUACAGGCGAGACAUUUCUUUGUGUUGACAGUUUAAUGGUAAGAAAUACUGUAUGCGAGCUGUAAUAGUGUUAAGACAGUAGAUUUAUAGUUCUGAAUCUCAGUGUAAAUGUUAUUUAUUACUAUCAACAUUUCACACUUCUGGAAUAAAUUUUAGGUUGUCAUAAAAUGAACAUUUCCUUCAUUGAGUCGAUCUAGAACUCAGAUGUACAGGUAUAACUAGCAAACUUAUAAAUUUUAUGUUUCAAAUCUAAAGCUCUUACUGUAAACAUAAGAUUUCCAUAUACAUUUCAAACAUAUUUUAUAUUUCUUUAUUUUGAAAACAUUCCAUUUUUCAUAAAUUUCCAAUAUUUUGAAAGUCUGCCAGUGGUCAAGACCAUUUGUUUUCUUAUUUAUUCAAACUUAAUUUGUUAUUUGUUUUUAUAUAUUUUAUCAAAUAUUUAUUUUAUAUUGAUUUAUUUGUAACUUAAAAUGUCCUUAAGUUCAUUUGCUCAGUCAGUCUGAG